AGAUUUAGAUGAGUGAUCAAAAGAGAAAGCUUCUGGAAAUAGUAGCCUUUAAAAAGCAGUUAAACGCAUUGCCAAUAUUUCAAAAUGCAUCCACCAGCAGAAAGUAUUUGCAUCUAUUGCAGAAGCGGCGUUCUACUAUUAUUAAAAAGAUGUUUUUGUUGAGGAAACAAUAUUUUUUGUUGUUUUCGUCUGCUCAAUACCUUUCUAAGCAAUCCCGAUUAUAUUGGACAAAAGUUAGUAUGCUUGUGCACCUCUAUACUAAGGUUUAUUAACUAUUUUUCAUUUCCAAAGGAACGUUCCCAAACGUUUUGGGAAGUAGACUGUCAAGUGAAUGGUGACGUGUUCUUUAAGAGCAAUUUUAGAAUGAAGAGAAGUACGUUCCUUGAGCUGUGUGGAUAUUUAAGAGUGUUGGAAAAAGAGGAUACCCCUUUACGUAAGGCUAUCACUUUACACAAACGGGUAGCCAUUGCUAUCAUCAUUGGGAUCAUCGGCAGAAUAUCGCACCAUAGGAAACACGUUUGGAGUUGGAAAGUCCACUGUAUGUGAAAUAGUUAAGGAGUUUUGUAUUCAGACUUGGAAGGUUUUAAGUCCAACUUUCAUGCCAACUUUUCCAUUGACGAGACAAAAAAUUGCCGAAUUAGUCCAGGGAUUCGAAAUUAUUGGCUUUCCUCAGUGCAUGGGAGCAAUUGACGGUUGUCAUAUUGAGAUUCAUCCUCCUAGACAAGAUGCCACGGACUAUCAUAAUUACAAAGGGUGGUAUUCCACCAUCCUACUCGCGUUAGUUGAUGCAAGAUACCGAUUUGUUUAUAUCAAUGUUGGUAGUCCAGGACGGUGUAACGAUUCCCAAAUUUUUGAGUCAUCAACGCUGAAGGCACAAUUAGAACAGUGUUCUCACCGUCACGAAAUGAGUAGAACUAUUUUAGAUGUUGAUGUGCCGGUUUUCAUAGUAGGAGACUCAGCUUUUCGUUUCAGCAAAAUAUUGAUGAAGCCUUAUGCAUCCCAAAUAAUGUAAAAUGAAAGGGAAAAAAGUUUUAACUAUUCGCUUUCGAAAGUGCGAAGGGUUGUUGAAAAUGCCUUUGGUCAUCUUAAGGCCCGAUUCCGACGAAUAGGCAAAGGUAUAGACAAUAAAGUCGAAAAUACGAAUGCUAUUAUCAAAGCAUGCUGUGUUCUGCACAACUUCUUAAACGAAAGAAAUGACAACAUUAACGAAAAAUGGAUGUCCGCUUUGCAGGAUAUAGAAAGGAAUCGUCAAUAUCCACAACAAGAAAUGUCUGUCAACGAUCGUCAAAAUAGUGCAGAAAUAAUUCGAAAUAGUCUAGCUACCUUUUUUUUUUUUCUAAAAAUUUCUUUUGAAAAUUUUUCUUUCCCGAUGCACGGGCAGCUGCUGAUGUCGACGGUGUUGGGGUUGCACAAUUGGAAAGCGAAGUGGGAGAAACACCACAUUCAUAAAGAUCGGCCGAUGAUAUCUAUAGAUAGUGCCACAAUUUCACUAUUAUCUGUAAUUUAAAAAGUACAUACAUAUGUACAUUAUACUACAUCACUCUUCAUAAAAAAAUCGGUACUUUUUUCCCA